rnacentral:rasiRNA from 1 species
GACCGAAUGAUUUAACCCGGAGAC